UACGAAGGGGGCUAGCGUUGCUCGGAAUCACUGGGCGUAAAGGGUGCGUAGGCGGGUUUCUAAGUCAGAGGUGAAAUCCUGGAGCUCAACUCCAGAACUGCCUUUGAUACUGGAAGUCUUGAGUAUGGGAGAGGUGAGUGGAACUGCGAGUGUAGAGGUGAAAUUCGUAGAUAUUAGGAAGAACACCAGUGGCGAAGGCGACUUACUGGACACAUAUUGACGCUGAGGUGCGAAAGCGUGGGGAGCAAACAGG
rnacentral:rRNA from 1 species